rnacentral:rRNA from 1 species
CGCCUCAAGAUGAGAUUUCCCAGUACGUAAGACCCCUGGAAGAACACCAGGUUGAUAGGCUCGAGGUGUAAGCACAGCAAUGUGUGUAGCUGACGAGUACUAAUCGGUCGAGGGCUUAUCCUA